UAGUAAGCUACUUCAGGUAGGAGGAAGGUAGUGUAGUUACACCUGCAUUAUUUGACGUUACCUACAGAAGAAGCACCGGCUAACUCCGUGCCAGCAGCCGCGGUAAUACGGAGGGUGCGAGCGUUAAUCGGAAUUACUGGGCGUAAAGCGCAUGCAGGCGGCCUGUUAAGUCAGAUGUGAAAGACCCGGGGCGUUAACCUCGGAAUUGCAUUUGAAACUAGGCAGGCUAGAGUCUUGUAGAGGGGGGUAGGAAGUUUCUAGGUGUAGCGGUGAAAUAGCGUAGAGAUCUGAAGGAAUACCAGUGGCGAAGGCGGCCCCCUCGGACAAAGACUGACGCUCAGAUGCGAAAGCGUGGGGAGCAAACAGGAUUAGAUACCCUGGUAG
rnacentral:rRNA from 1 species